rnacentral:lncRNA from 1 species
AGAAGAAAUGGUACUACUUGAAGAUAAACAGCACUUUCAUGGCUAAUGGCCCUUCUGAGUUAUUUUCAUGUAUUUUUUUUCCCUAGGGACUGUACAGUAUGUAACUGAAUAAUAUGCAAGAUGAGAUAGAGGUAGAUGGACUUCUUAGAUUGUCUAGCUUCAACAGUUCAUUUUGAGUGAAGAGUCAUCUAAUGAACCUCCUAUAUUUGAUCACAAUGUCAAAAGCCCUACACGGAUCCCUACUAAACCUGCAGUUACUGGGAAGAGGAAUGAACAGAAGAGGAAUUACUUCUGAAGUGGAAUUGGGAACUUAGGCAUGAGCGAUAUCUUGACCCAACAGAAGUCUCUCAGUAGCUUCUAUUCCAGUUUUAUCUGCAUACGAUAUUUUGAAAGACACUGCACGUGGACUUGGAAUUUUUUUAAACAUUCGUAUUGCAAAGGUGACUGUGGUUUGGAUUCUGUGGAGAAGGUUUCUGCUAUGACUCAGCCCCCAAAAGUGCUCCUCUUCUCUGCCAGACACCACUAAGGUAAAUGAAAAUGUUUUUUAGUGCAGGAUAGUCUUUUAUAUUAUUUGGUGUUAAUUUUGGUACCUGGAGCAAAAAUCCCUAU